AACUACUGGAAACGGUGGCUAAUACCGCAUAACGUCGCAAGACCAAAGAGGGGGACCUUCGGGCCUCUUGCCAUCAGAUGUGCCCAGAUGGGAUUAGCUUGUUGGUGAGGUAACGGCUCACCAAGGCGACGAUCCCUAGCUGGUCUGAGAGGAUGACCAGCCACACUGGAACUGAGACACGGUCCAGACUCCUACGGGAGGCAGCAGUGGGGAAUAUUGCACAAUGGGCGCAAGCCUGAUGCAGCCAUGCCGCGUGUAUGAAGA
rnacentral:rRNA from 2 species